UUUUUAAGAAGAAAACAACCGUAUGUUUUCAUGGCAGAUGCCAUGAUUUGCUUAAGGACAUAUAUCCUGUAACUCUGCCAUCAUGUUCACAUAUUACCUAUUGGACCCUUAUUGAAAUUCAGUUAACUGAUGGGUUGAACAGUUUCGUCGAGAGCCUUUAAUGCAUUCUUGGUUACCAUUCUCCGAUAUCCAAUUUUGAUCCGCUAUCCCCUGUUGUCUUGAUUCAAUUGCAUCACCAUAUUAAUUUCCCCACUCUUUCUCUAGAAUAGAGUCCUCAUCUGAGAGUAUAAUCCCCUCCUCCUACAGAAUCCUCUCCAAAGUCAAGAACCAGUAAAACAUUAUGGGUUAUGAUUGUAUUUUUUUCCUACGUCAAUCUGCCGUUACACGUUGUAGCAAUCAAUGGUGUUAGAGGAAUUGUUAAGAGAAUCAGCUCAGGUAUGUUAAGGUCAUUCUUUCUUUUUGGCAUGGUUUAUACGCCAAGGUAAAACGAGUAGAUAUGCAAAUUCUAUAAAUGAAUCUAUUCAUAGAGGUAUUAGAGAUGUCUACGUUCUUGAAUUUCCAUAUGUUUUAUUAUUCUAUCGUCUGUUCAUGGGUCUCAAAAAUACGUAAGUUGGUAAAAUUUAUUUCAUGAUAUUAAUCAAAGGUAUAAUGGUCUUAGUUUAAAAAUUAAGAAUAUUUUGACGAAGAACGCUUUACCUCCUCUUACUACGACACUCAAACUAAAUUGGAAUUUGUCGGCACAGAAAGUAGGAGUAUAUAAUUUCAAAUAUGGAAUGCGUAAAAUAGACAGUAAAUUGUAACCCUCUAGAGCUUCUAAAUCUGUCUUGUUCUCUUUUGGUAAUAAUUUGUGGUAAUUAAUUAAUAGUUUGUAGUAUAUAAUUAUAAGUCAUGGCAACGGUCCAUUGAAAAUAACAAUAACUGUUAGUAAAUUUUUUUAUAUAUAUUUAUACUUGGCGGCUAUUAUCUUGGAGAGCAUUUAUACAAUAUAGACAUGACGUUCCGAGAGAUUUUAUUGGCGUACUUCUCAUGCAUUGCAUUCAUGUACAUGUGCAUUUACCCAUGACUCAGACGGCGUUAUAUACGCGUAUAUAUGUAUAUAUAUGGAUAUGGGACAUGGAAAAAGGUUAAGACGUUAUAUACGCACCACCACCUGAUCAGCUGGUAUACGUUGAUGAUUUUGCCCACAGUGGCACCAGAUGGCGUUAUAUACGCGUAUAUAUGUAAAUAUAUGUAUAUGGAAUAUGGGAAAAAGGUUACGGCGUUAUAUACGCACCACCACCUGAUCAACUGGUAUACGUUGAGGAUUUGCCCACAGUGGUCGAGAUGAUAUGAUGAGAUGCCCUCAAAGGCUUGAUGAUGUUAUGAAUACAUGUACUUAUGCACGACAUGACAUACAUAUGCAUAUGCAUGAUACUAUGAGUAUUUCAUUAUUUACAAAGUUAUUCCAGUUCUAAAAAUGAAGUUUGUUCUCAGGCAGGUUCGUUUAUUUCUAUGGUUUACCAGUUGAUGUGAUUUCAGAUAUAUGAAUUUUCUUGUUGCAAGAUAACAAAAAAUACAUGGCUGAUAAAGAGAAGAAAUUUACAUGUGCAUUAUAGUACUGGUAAAUUUUCUUAAGAAAAGGGAAGUAGUAAUUGUCGAAUAGUACGUAUAGGAGAUAUAACUUCCAAAGUGCAAGUGUUGAUUUUAAAAUUUCUGUCUUUUCUUUUGUGGGAUAAGGCCAGUAAUAAAUCACUAUGAUGACAUUGCAGACCGAAUAAAUAAUUUAGGUGUUACGUAUUAGCGAAAAUUAUUUGAAGCUUUAUUCUGUUGUCAAUAGUUCCAUUUCUAAUAUUCAAGAUUAUUUUGCAUAGGCCUGAAUUUUCUCACAAUAUGUCUUUAAUAAAUGUUGAAUUAUGGUUAUGUUUCAGUUCUACCUUACAUACUCGGUAUAUUAUUCGUACUGACGUCCUUCUGUUGGGGACGCUGCAUUUAUGCCUGCAUGUAUAGAUAAUUAGUUUGACGAGCCCUCAAAGUAGACGAAAUUGGCAUUUAGCUAAGGAUCGGUAAGACUCCACCUCAUUCGUAGUGCAGCCAAGUUUUAUGAGUCAUCGUGUCAGGAAAUUGCUACACACUUAUGGGUAGGCCGGUACCCUGUCCCAUUUGAUGUCAAAUAAUCGAAGAGGCUUUGUAGACAAAGGUUCAGUUUGUACAGUAUGUCAGAGUCCUUAACGACCCAUUUGUAUUCAUGUUUUUAAGAAUGAUAGUUUAUUGAUACAAUGUUGCCCACUUACAAUUGUACAUUAUGAGUUGUGGCCAUGUGGGCCCAUGAUAGUUAUAAAAAGAAUGAAUGAGUUUCUUAGGGGUUCGCUCGGGCCAGUGCGGCACCGGGUGCCAGCCACACCUCUCAAGGUUGGGGCGUGACAUAUGGACUUCAGCACUAAUCCGUUUGAUGGUGAUUUGACAUAUGAUGUGGAGCCGAUGUCCAUUUUGGAUCGGCAGGUUCGAAAGUUGAGGUCAAAAGACAUAGCUCCAGUGAAGGUGCAAUGGAGAUGUAAGCCAUUUGAGGUUGUUACUUGGGAGAUCGAGCGGGAGAUAUUGUGUAGAUAUCCACGCCUAUUUGAGACUCCAGGUACGUUUCUAGACCCAUUCGAGGACGAAUGAGUGACUAUGAGGAAUGAGCGACUGCGAGGAUGGAUUGAAUGAGAGGACCUAGUGAUUGACCCUCUGAGGGUAUGUAUAUGAUUUCAUUACUAUUUUGUUGUCACGACUUGGAUUUCCCGGCCUUAGGAGUCGUAAUGGCGCCUACUCGUGAAAGCUAGGCAAACCGAGUAAUACAGAUUUUGUUACCUUUUUCCUUAACCUUUUAGCAUUUAUGAAUUAAUAGGUGAUCAACAGCGGAAUAAUCAUAAUAAAUGGAAAUGCGGAAGAUGAAAUCUAAUAGUUUAACUAGAUACUAAUACGAAAAUCUAAAAUACAACUCUACCCAGAAUUGGUGUCACAAUAUCACAAACAAUCUACGAAUACUACAAACAGUGGUCUGAAUGGAAAAUACAAGCAUGUCUAUGAAAUACAUAAAAAAAGAAUGGAAAAGAUAGAAGGGGACGCCAAGGCCUGCGGACGUCUGCAGGACUACCUCGGGUCUCCGCCGCUGGACUCAAGGCAGCAACCUCACUGUGGUCCAAAACCUCCAGCACCGAAUCUGCACACAGUGCAGAGUGUAGUAUCAGCACAACCAACUCCAUUUGUUGGUAAGUGUCGAGCCUAACCUCGACGAAAUAGUGACGAGGCUAGGACAAGACUACCAAAUAAACCUGUGCAGCUAUUUCAUAUAUAGCAAAUAAUAACAACAGAAACUAGCAGUUAAAGAUGGGAAGGGGGACAUGCUGCGGGGGAUAAUAGGUACUACCAGAAUUUCAGUAGAGAAGCACAAAGAACACCAUAAAUCAAUUAUGAGCAAGAAUAAGGAAAACAAUAACAAGUGCACGACAUCACCCUUCGUGCUUUUGCUCUCGUCCUCACCAUAAAAAUCAAUAGAUUUAGCACAGCAUCACCCUUCGUACUUUUACCUCACAUAAUCAUGGCACGACAUUAUCUUUCGUGUAUUAUCACUCAAAUCAUGGCACGAUAUCACCCUUCGUGCUGUUACAUUCACAAUAUCGGCACGGCAUCACUCUUCGUGCUUACCACUCAUCCUUACCCAAGCAACAAUCACAAGCAAUCCGAGAAAAGGAAUCAAUAAAAAUCACAAUAGAAUCCCGGCAAGGGAAUAAUGGUAUAACAAAAAUAUCCCGGCAAGGGAAACAAUAUCAUAAGUAAUAACAUCCCGGCAAGGGAAACAAUAUCAUAAACCUCUUCUCUUUUCUACAAUUACUUCACAACACAAUUCUCAACUUAAGCCAAUGCUCUACAAUGUUCAAUUACAAAGAAUACUUCCAUAAGCCUUGUUCAACAUUAAAAACCAUAAUAUUAAGCAUGGAUAAUAUAUAACGGAGUCACAACAAUCAUAGUAUAAGACUCACGGGCAUGCUUGACACCAACGUAUAGGUACUCAUCACCACACCUAUACGUCGUACUCAACAAUUAACACAUAUCAAUAAGACCACGACUCUUAUUCCCUCAAGCUAAGGUUAGACCAAAUACUUACCUUAAUGCCACGAACACAAUCAAGCCUCAACUACCGCUUUACCUCUUGAUUCCACCACCAACCCGCUUGUAUUAAUGAUUUGGAGAAGAACUUUUCUUUGGAAAGUCGCCCAAGAGAGCUUAGGGUUUGAGAAAGUUUGAAAAAUGAAGAAAUUUUGUCUAAUUUAUAGUUUGCACAGGUACUGAUAUCGCUUUUGCGAUGUUAGGUUUGCAAAGGCGAAAACGCAAAUGCGGCCAAGACUUCACAAAUGCGAAGGUAGGUCUGCCCUGCUUUCUUCGCAAAUGCGAACUACCGUUCGCAACUACGAUCCCUGCUGAAGUCGCAUUUGCGACAUUGAGCCUCGCAAAUGCGAAGGUCUCCCUGCCUAGCCCAUCUUCGCAAUUGCGAUAUUUCUUCGCAAAUGUGAGCUCGCAUUUGCGAGCCAGGCUUCGUACAACCUCCCAAGCGCUAGGUUCAAGCAACUUCAUUCUUCGAAAAUCCCAGACUGCGAAGGCGUCGCCCAGAGACGACGUGACAAGAAAAAUGAAAAACAACAUCGGUGCCCCACGGAUUCUUGCGCUGUUCAUCACUGCAAAAUAGAUUGAGCUACGGACAUCAAGGGACCGAGAUUAUAUGCUGCUGCAAAAGAGGAAUCGAAGGAGUUGGUUGAAAGUUAAGGAUAGCGUGAUUGGCCGAUUGGUUGCGAAGCCUGCAUAUCUACAACACACCAGCUGCUGCUCCUAAGUUCAAAACACUUUGCGGCCUAUCCAAAACUCAGGUGUUCUUCUUGUUGUAUAAUUUGUAUAUCUUUUUCAGUCAUAAUUUUCUUCAUCUGAUUCUUCUAUAUCCUUGUUUAUUUCAUUUUCAGAGAACUCAUUUUCUGAUAUCUCAUAUAUGUUGUCUUCACUGCUGUCCAAAAACAUCAUACAGACUUGCUCGUGUGAUCAAAUCAUCAAAAUAACAUCAACAUCUAUAAAUUAAACCUCAAUUUCUUGAAAUCACCUAAGAACAUCAAAUUUCCAUUUUUCUCAAAUAAAGGUUCGAUUUAUACCAAACGAACUCCGAUUCUUACCAAACUUUACAGAUUCAACUUAAUUAUUAUAUAAGACUUAUACCGGGCUCCAAAACCAAAAUACGGGUCCGAUACCAUCAAAUUCAAACAUCUUUAAAUUUCCAAAAAUUCUUAUAAUUUCAGUUAAACAAUUUCUUUCAAAAAUUUAUUUCUCGGGCUUGGGACCUCGGAAUUCGAUUCCAGGCAUAUGCCCAAGUCCCAUAUUUUACUUGGACCCUAUGAGACCGUCGAAUCACGGGUUCGGGUCCGUUUACCAAGAAUAUUGACCAAAGUCAACUUUAAUCAAUUUUAGGCCAAUUUCCAUGUUUUACUUUGAUUUCACAUAAAAGCUUUUCGAAAAUAAGCCCGGACUGCUCACACAAAUCGAUGCGAGAUAAAAAGAGGGUUUUAAGGCCUCGGAACACAAAAUUUACUUUCAAAAGGAGUGAUGACCUUUUGGGUCAAGGUCAUCAUAUUCUCUACCUCUAAAACAAUCGUUCAUCCUCGAACGAACAGAAGAAAAGUACUUGAGUCGGAGAAAAGAUGGGAAUAUCGGCUCCGCAUAUCAGACUCGGAAUCCCAGGUCGUUGCCUCAAUAGGCUGACCCCUCCACCGAAUACGAACUAAAGGAAAACUCUUCGAUCUCAACUGGCAAACCUGCCGGUCUAGAAUAGUAACUGGCUCCUCCUCAUAGGACAAGUCCUUGUCCGACUGGACAAUGCUGAAGUCUAACACGUGGGAUGGAUCGCCGUGAUACUUUCAAAGUAUGGACACAUGAAAUUCUGGAUGUACGGCUGAUAAACUUGGCGGCAACGCAAGUCUGUAAGCCACAUCUCCCACUCGAACAAGAAUCUCAAAAGGACCAAUGAAUCUAGGGCUUAGCUUGCCCUUCUUUCCAAAUCUCAUCAUGCCCUUCAUAGGCACUACCCGAAGCAACACCCGCUCGCCGAUCAUGAAUGCCACAUCACGAACCUUGCGGUCGGCAUAACUCUUUUGCCUGGACUGAGUUGUACAAAGCCUAUCCUGAAUGAUCUUAGCCUUGUCCAAAGCAUCCUGCACUAGAUCCGUACCCAACAACCUAGCAUGUCCCGGCUCAAACCACCCAACUGGCGACCGACACCGCCUACCAUAUAAAGACUCAUAGGGAGCUAUCUAGAUGCUCGACUAAUAGUUGUUGUUAUAGGCAAACUCCGCUAAAGGCAAGAACUGAUCCCACGAGCCUCCAAAGUCAAUAACACAAGCUCAAAGCAUAUCCUCCAAAAUUUGAAUAGUACGCUCGGACUUCCCGUCCGUCUGAGGAUAAAAUGUUGUGCUCAACUCGACCCGUGUGCCCAACUCACACUGAACUUCCCUCCAGAAAUGUGAGGUAAACUGUGUACCUCGGUCAGAAAUGAUAGACACGGGCACACCAUGAAGAUGAACAAUCUCCUAGAUAUAGAUCUCUGCCAACCGCUCCGAAGAAUAGGAAACUGCCAUAGGAAUGAAGUGCGCUGACUUGGUCAGCCUAUCUACAAUAACCCACACUACAUCGAACUUCCUUUGAGUCCGUGGGAGUCCAACAACGAAGUCCAUAGUGAUACACUCUCACUUUCACUUAGGAAUCUCAAUCUUCUGGAACCAACCACCAGGUGUCUGAUGCUCGUACUUUACCUGUUUACAAUUCAAAUACCGAGCCACAUAUGCAAAAAUAUUCUUCUUCAUCCUCCUCCACCAAUAAUGUUUUUGCAAGUCCUGAUACAUCUUAGCGGCGCCCGGAUGAAUAGAGUAACGAGAACUAUAGGCCUCCUCUAGAAUUAACUCUCAAAGCCCAUCCACAUUAGGCACACAAACUCGACUCUGCAUCCUCAAAACUCCAUCAUCUCCUAAUGUAACCUGCUUGGCACCACCGUGUCGCACUGUCCCCCUAAGGACACACAUAUGAGCAUCAUCAUAGUGUCGAUCUCUGAUAUGCUCAAAUAAUGAAGAACGAGCGACUAUACAAGAUAACACACGGCUGGGCUCAAAAAUAUCCAACCUCACGAACUGAUUGGCCAAAGCCAGAACAUCCAAAGCAAGCGAUCUCUCAUCGAUCGAAAUAUACGCAAGACUGCCCAUACUGGCUGACUUUCUACUCAAAGCAUCAGCCACUACAUUGGCCUUCCCCGGAUGAUAUAAGAUGGUGAUAUCAUAUUCUUUCAAUAGCUCUAACCACCUUCUCUGCCUCAAAUUUAGCUCAUUCUGCUUGAACAAGUACCGUAGACUCUUAUGAUCCGUGAACACCUUACAUGACACGCCAUAUAAAUAGUGCCUCCAAAUCUUCAAUGCGUGAACAAUGGCUGCUAAUUCCAAAUUAUGAACUGGAUAAUUCUUCUUAUGAAUCUUCAAUUGUCGCAAAGCAUAAGCAAUGACCUUGCCAUCCUGCAUCAACACCGCACCAGGUCCAACACGAGAUGCAUUACAAUAGACUAUAUAUGAACCUGAACCUGUAGGCAAAACCAACACCGGCGCCAUAGUCAAAUCUGUAUUAAACUUUUGAAAGCUCGCCUCACACUCGUCCGACCACCUGAACUAGGAACCCUUCUGGGUCAACCUGUUUAUCGGGGCUACAAUAAAUGAAAACCCCUCCAUAAACCGACGGUAAUAGCUCUCCAAACCCAAGAAACUUCGGAUCUCUAUAGCUGAUGCAGGUCUAGGCCAGUCCUUGACUACCUCUAUCUUUUUCAGAUCCACCUGAAUACCCUCUACUGAUACAACAUCUCCCAAGAAUGCAAGUGAGCUCAACCAGAAUUCACAUUUCAAAAACUUAGCAUAUAACUGACUAUAUCUCAAAGUCUGAAGAACCACUAUUAGAUGUUGCUCAUGUUUCUCUCGGCUACGGGAAUAGAUCAAAUAUCAUCAAUGAAAACUAUCAUGAAUGAAUCCAAGUAAGGCUUGAACAUUCGGUUCAUCAAAUCCAUGAAAGAUGUUGGGGCAUUUAUCAACCCGAAUGACAUUACCAAGAACUCAUAAUGUCCGUACCGAGUGCGGAAAGCUGUCUUAGGGACAUCAGAUGCCCUAAUCCUCAACUGAUGGUAGCCAUAUCUCAAAUCAAACUUUGAAAAUAUCUUGGCACCCUGAAGCUGAUCAAAUAAUUCAUCAAUCCUUCGCAACAGACACUUAUUAUUGAUUGUGUCAUUGUUCAGCUGCCGAUAAUCUAUGCACAUCCUCAUCGAUCAGUCCUUCUUCUUAACAAACAACAUCGGCGCACCCCAAGGCGAGACACUAGGUCUAAUAAAUCCCUUAUCAAGCAAGUCUUGCAACUAUUCUUUCAAUUCUUUUAACUCUGGCGGGGCCAUACGAUAUGGCAGGAUAGAAAUGGGCCGAAUACCCGGAGCCAAAUCAAUGCAGAAGUCAAUAUCCAUGUCAAGUGGCAUAUCCGGCAGGUCUGAAGGAAAUACCUCAGGAAACUCACGAACAACAAGCACAAAAUCCAUAGAAAGAACCUCGGUACUAGAAUCACGAACAUACGCCAAAUAGGCCAAACAUCCCUUCUCAACCAGAUGCUGAGCCUUCAUAUAUGAGAUAACCCUAUAGGUCGAAUGACCAGGAGACCCUCUCCACUCUAAACGAGGUAAACCCGGCAAGGCUAAGGUCACAGUCUUGGCAUGACAGUCUAAGAUAGCAUGGUAAGGUGAUAACUAGUCCAUCCCCAAUAUGACAACAAAAUCAACCAUAUCCAAAAGUAACAGAUCUACUCGGGUCUCAAGACCCCCAAUCACAACUAUACAUGAACGAUGGAUAUGAUCUACUACAAUAGAAUCACUCAUCGGUGUAGACACAUAUAUAGGAGCAAUUAAGGAAUCACUAGGCAUGACCAAAUAAAGUGCAAAAUAAGAUGACACAUAGGAGUAUAUAGAUCCUGGAUCAAAUAGAACUGAGGCAUCUCUACUACAAACCAGAACAGUACCUGUGAUAACUACAUCGGAGGCCUCAGCCUCAGGCCUGGCUGGAAGAGCAUAAUAUCGAGGCUGGCCCCCACCACUCUGAACUACAUAUUUGGGACGGCCUCCUGCUGGCUGGCCUCCAACUCUAGCAGCCUGACCUCCACCUCUAAUACCUCUACCUCCACCUCUAGCACCUCUACCCCCCACCUCUAGCUGGCUGAGCUGGCAGUGGAACACUCGGUGCCUGAACCAUACCACGGGAACCCUGAUGCUGAGAUCUACUUAGUGGUCGAGGGAAAAAUCUAACAAUAUGCCUCGUAUCGCAACAAGUAUAACAAGCCCUCGGCUGUUGGGACUGAUGACCCUAAAAACUCUAGAGUGGAGGCACACUGAUAGGAGUUGGCGAUGCACUCUAGGGCAGCUAAUUAGAAUACUGCAUAUGAGAACCACAGCCAUCUGGGGCACCGUGAGAAGCCUGUAGAGCUGAAUGAAAUGGCCUCGAAGGAUGACCCCUACCAAAAGAAUCCCUGCCUCUAGAUGAGGAACCACUGAACCUGCCCGAAUGAUGGGGUCUCUUGUCAAACCCCUGACCAAACCCUGUGAUAGAACCAUCUCAACUCUCCUGGACACAUUGGCCGCAUCCUAAAAUGAAAUCUUUCUCCCCGUCUUCUUGGCCAUCUGCAAUCAAACAGGCUAAAUGAGUCCCUCAAUGAACCUCCUCACUCUCUAUCUCAGUAGGAAGUAUAAGAAGAGCAUGACGGGCCAAGUUAAUAAAUAUAGUCUCGUACUGGGUGACAAUCAUACAACCUUGCUGGAGACGCUCAAACUACCUCUGAUAGUUCUCCCUCUGAGUGAUUGGAAGAAACUUCUCCAGAUAUAGCUGAGAAAACUAAUCCCAAGUCAAAGCUGAUGACCCAACUAGUCUAGACAAACAAUAAUAUCUCCACCAAGUCUUGGCGGAUCCAGACAGACAAAAAGCAGCAAAGUCGACCCAAUUGGUCUCCACUAUCCCCAUGUUCCGCAAAACCUCAUGAUAGCUAUCCAAAUAAUCCUGGGGAUCCUCAGAAGAUGUACCACCAAAAGUGGUAGUGAAAAGCUUGGUGAACCUGUCCAACCUCUACAAGGCAUCAACAAACAUAGCUAGCCCCUCACCGGUAUAUGCCAUAACACCCGGCUGAACUACUCUAACUGGCUAAGCUGCUGGAGUCUGAAACUGGGGAGCCAUCUGCUCUGGAGUGCGAGUAGCAGGAGUCUGGGCUCCUCCUCCAGCCUGAGAGACGGUUGGUGCUACAGGAAGCAAUACUGCCUGGGCGACACUCUCCAUAUGGUCCACUAGUCGGACCAGAGCAUCCUGAAGUACUGGGUGGCAAUGAACCCCUUUGGGACCUGAGCUGGUCCUGCUAGAACUGACUGGGCUGGAACCUCAUCGUCAAACUCAAUCUGAGGCUUCGCCGCUGGUGCUGCUGCUCGAGCUAUGGGCUGAGCUCUACCUCUACCUCAGGCCCUAGCACGGCCUCAGCCUCUAUACCUUGCAUGAGCUGCUAAUAGGGAUCAGGCUGUGUCAGUUAGUGAAGUGGCAUGUGUCCUUACCAUCUGCGAAAGAACAGAGUGGAAGUUCAAUUAGCAUUGAGAAAUCAAGUCGCAUGACAACAAAGAAUAGAUGUGAAAUUUUUCCUAACUCUGUAGCCUCGGGGGGAUAAAUACAGACAUCUCCGUACCUAUCUCUCAUACCCUACUAAGCUUGUCCGUGAAUUGUGAGACCUAAGCAACCUAGAUAUCUGAUACCAACUUGUCACAAUCCGGAUUUCCCACCCUCAGGAGUCGUGAUGGCGCCUACUCGUGAAAGCUAGGCAAGCCAAGUAAUACAAAUUUUGUUACCCUUUUUCCUUAACCUUUUAACAUUUACGAAUUAACAGGUGAUCAACAGUAAAAUAAUCAUAAUAAACGGAAAUGCAGAAGAUGAAAUCUAAUAGUUUAACUAGAUANNNNNNNNNNNNNNNNNNNNNNNNNCCUUAACCUUCUAACAUUUACGAAUUAACAGGUGAUCAACAGUAAAAUAAUCAUAAUAAACGGAAAUGCAGAAGAUGAAAUCUAAUAGUUUAACUAGAUACUAAUACGAAAUCCCAAAAUACAACUACCUAAAAUUGGUGUCACAGUAUCACGGACUAUCUACGAAUACUACAAACAGUGGUCUAAAUGAAAAAUACAAGUCUGUUUCUGAAAUACAUAAAAACAUAAUGGAAAUGAUAGAAGGGGACGCCAAGGCCUGGGGAUGUCUGCAUGACUACCUCGGGUCUCCGCCACUGGACUGAAGGCAGCAACCUCAUUAUGGUCGAAAAGCUCCAGCACCGGGAUCUGCACACAGUGCAGAGUGUAGCAUUAGCACAACCGACCAUGUGCUGGUAAGUGUCGAGCCUAACCUCGGUGAAGUAGUGACGAGGCUAGGACAAGACUACCAAAUAAACAUGUGCAGCUAUAUCAUAUACAGCAAAUAAUAACAUCAGAAACUAGUAGUUAAAGAUGGGAAGGGGGACAUGCUACAGGGGAUAACAAGUACUAACAGAAUUUCAGUAGAGAAGCACAAAGAACUCCAUAAAUCAAUUAUGAUCAAGAAUAAGGAAAACAGUAACAAGUGCACGGCAUCACCCUUCGUGCUUUUACUCUUGUCCUAACCAUAAAAAUCAAUAGAUUCGACACGGCAUCACCCUUCGUGCUUUUACCUCACAUAAAUGGAACGACAUUAUCCUUCGUGCAUUAUCACUCAUAUAAUGGCAUGACAUCACCCUUUGUACUUUUACAUUCAUAAUAUCGGCACGGCAUCACCCUUCGUGCAUUAACACUCACUCACAAAUAUCACACACGACAUCACCCUUCGUGCUUUCCACUCAUCCUUACCCAAGUAACAAUCACAAGCAAUUCGGGCAAGGGAAUCAAUAAAAAUCAUAAUAGAAUCUCAUCAAGGAAAAAUUGGUAUAACAAAAAUAUCCCGGCAAGGGAAACAAUAUCAUAAGUAAUAACAUCCCGGCAAUGGUAACAAUAUCAUAAGUAAUAACAUCCUGGCAAAGGAAACAAUAUCAUAAAUCUCUUCUCUUUUCCACAAUUACUUCAUAGCACAAUUCUCAACUUGAGCCAAUGCUCUACAAUGUUCAAUUACCAAGAAUACUUCCAUAAGCCUUGUUCAACAAUAAAAAUCAUCAUAUUAAGCAUGGAUAAUACAUAAUGGAGUCACAACAAUCAUAGUAUAAGACUCACGGACAUGCUUGACACCAACGUAUAGGUACUCGUCACCACACCUAUACAUCGUACUUAAUAAUUACCACAUAGCAAUAAGACCACGACUCCUAUUAACUCAAGCUAAGGUUAGACCAAACAUUUACCUCAAUACCACUAACCCUUUUGUAUUAAUGAUUUGGAGAAAAACUUUUCUUUGGAAAAUCGCCCAAGAGAGCUUAGGGUUUGAGAGAGUUUGAAAAAUGAAGAAAUUUCGUCUAAGUUAUAAUUUGCACAAAUGCAGAUAUCGCAUUUACGAUGUCAGGUUUGUAAAUACGAACUUGAAAAUGCGGCCCAGGCUUCGCAAAUGCGAAGGUAGGACUGCCCUGCUUUCUUCGCAAAUGCGAUCUACCGUUCGCAAUUGCGAACCCUGCUGAAUUCGCACUUGCGACAUUAAGCCUCGCAAAUGCGAAGGUCUCCUUACCCAUUCCAUCUUCGCAAUUGUGAUAUUUCUUGACAAAUGAGAGCUCGCAUUUGCGAGCCUAGAUGCGCAAUUGCAACACACCAGCUGUUGCUUCUAAGUUCAAAACACUUUGUGGCCUAUCCAAAACUCAACCGAGCCCUCGGGACUCUUAACCAAACAUGCACGCAAGUCCAAAAAUAUCAUACGGACUUGCUCGUACGAUCAAAUAAUCAAAAUAACAUCAACAACUAUGAAUUAAACCUAAUACGGGCCUUAAAAACGAACUCCAAUUCUCAAAUAAAGAUCCGAUUUAUACAAACGAUCUCCAAUUCUUACCAGACUUCACAGAUUCAACUUAAUUAUUAUAUAAGACUUGUAUCGGGCUCUGGAACCAAAAUACGGGCCUGAUACCAUCAAAUUCAAACAUCUUUAAAUUUCCAAAAACUCUUAUAAUUUUAGUUAAACAAUUUCUUUCAAAAAUUUAUUUCUCGGGCUUGGAACCUCGAAAUUCGAUUCCGGUCAUACGCCCAAGUCCCAUAUUUUACUAUGGACCCUACGAGACCGUCGGAUCACGGGUCCAAGUUCAUUUUCCAAGAAUGUUGACCAAAGUAAACAUUAAUCAAUUUUUAAAGGGCAAUUUCCUUAUUUUAAUUUGAUUUCACAUAAAAGCUUUCUGUAAACGCGCCCGGGCUGUGCACACAAAUCUAGGUAAGACAAAAAGAGGUUUUUAAGGCCUCAGAACACAAAAUUUACUUUCAAAACGAGUAAAGGGUCAUCACAUUUGAACUUCAGGUUGCAUAUAUAACUGACAUAUUGAUAUCGAGAUGUACCAUAUCUUGUCUCAAUUGAACUUGACAUGAUUUACCUGUUUGGGCUUUAACUAUUAAACUUGAAAGCAUGCCAACAUUUUUGUACUGUAAUUCUAUAGUUGAACUAUACCUGUGAAGCUCGUCACUACUUUCAGCCUAAUAGUUAGACUUGUUACUUACUGAGUUGGUUGUACUCAUGCAACACCCUGCACUUCAUGUGCAUAUCCAGGUGUUUUCGGGCACGGUGGUUGCUGAUUCUCAGAGUUUGUCCUCAUUCAGAGAUUAUCGAGGUAGUUACCUGUCACGACCCUAAACCCGGACCCAGUCGUAAUGGCGCCUCUCAUGAAGACAAGGCCAGUCGACCCCUCCAAUUUCCAAUUAUUAACAGUUAAACCAUAAGAAAUAAAUCUAAAUCAUGAUAAGAUAAUCCAAAGUUAACAGUUAAUAGCACAACUUGCGGGAUACAACCCAACACAGCCCGAUAGCAGGGUGUCACUAGUCAUGAGCAUCUAAACAAUCCGGAAUACUCCAAAUCAAACUACAGAGUUUAAUACAGCAACAAAGAACAUGAAGAAAUUAGAUAGGGAAGAGCUCAGGGCUGUGAAUGCCGAUAGCUACCUAGAGACUCCUCGGAUCCACCUGAGCUGGAAAUGAUUAGUACUUGGGAGCGGGACCAGAUACACAUGAAUCUGCACACAGGGUGCAGGGAGUAAAGUGAGUACUCCAAUUCAGUGAGUAAUAAUCAUAAAUAAAGACUGAAAGCAGGAAAAUCACGUAAGGCACAACGCAUGCUAUAAUGAAGCAGUAAAAACCUUGAAAACAGUAAACCAGUGAAAGAUAGGAAAAAAUCCUUUAACUCAAAUUUAACUUAAUGAAAAGCCUUUUUCAACAAUUAAGCAGGUAAUUUGGCAUGCAAUUAAGAAAAGAUAAACACAUAAAGGUUCACCCCUCAGGCACCGUAUCAAUAAAUACGCCCCUCGGGCAACAUCUCAGAACAAUACCAGCCCCUCGGGCUCAAUCUCACAUCACAAUGGGUACUCGCGCUCACUGGGGGUGUGCAGACUCCUGUAAGCACAAUAUCAAGCCAUCUCGUGGCAUCAUCACUAGGCUCUCGGCCUCAUAUCAAUCAAGCCACCUCGUGGCAUACAUAUCUCAGGCCCUCGGCCUCAUAAUCAUAACCAAAUGUUUCCUCAAGACACAGGCCCUCGGCCUUACUCAGUCAAAAUCCUCACAAGCCACUCGGGCAACAGUAAAACAGUGAUUCUCAGCCCAAUUAUCAGUAGAAAAAUCAUUUAAGUAAUAAAACAGAAAACAUGGCUGAGUAUGAAAACCGUGGAAAAUAACAUGACUGAGUUCAUGUAUAAAGUCAAAGCAGUAAAGAAAUAUCAAUAAAAAUCCCCGAACGGUUCAAAUAGUUGGCACAAGGCCCAAAUAUGGCAUUCACCCCAAAUCAUGAUGAUAGCAAAUAGAUUUCAGUUAAAUACAUGGUAAAAUAGUCAUUCAGGACGGACUGAGUCACAAUCCCCAACAGUGCACGACCCCUCGAAUCGGCCUCCACUCGCGUUGAAUCUAUCCAAAAUCAUAACCACAGUCAAAAUAUGCUAAGGGAACGAAGCCCAAGCGAAAAUAAUCAAUAUACGACACCAAUCCCAAAAUUACCAAAACCCGACCCCCGGGCCCACAUCUCGGAAUUUGAUAAUUUUUACAUCAGUAGAUUCCUUAUAUCUCCACGAGUUCAUACAUAUCAAAAUUUCUGAAAUCCGACCUCAAAUGGUCCUUCAAAUCCUCAAGCAAAGGUUUAAGUUUCCAAGCCCUAGUUUCCCCAAUUUUAGCCCUUAAAUUCCAUUAAUUAUAGCUCUAAUCUAUGAAAUAAUAGCAUAAGAACGAGUUUUAGGUCCAAAUUCCUUACCUCAAUGANNNNNNNNNNNNNNNNNNNNNNNNNNNNNNNNNNNNNNNNNNNNNNNNNNNNNNNNNNNNNNNNNNNNNNNNNNNNNNNNNNNNNNNNNNNNNNNNNNNNNNNNNNNNNNNNNNNNNNNNNNNNNNNNNNNNNNNNNNNNNNNNNNNNNNNNNNNNNNNNNNNNNNNNNNNNNNNNNNNNNNNNNNNNNNNNNNNNNNNNNNNNNNNNNNNNNNNNNNNNNNNNNNNNNNNNNNNNNNNNNNNNNNNNNNNNNNNNNNNNNNNNNNNNNNNNNNNNNNNNNNNNNNNNNNNNNNNNNNNNNNNNNNNNNNNNNNNNNNNNNNNNNNNNNNNNNNNNNNNNNNNNNNNNNNNNNNNNNNNNNNNNNNNNNNNNNNNNNNNNNNNNNNNNNNNNNNNNNNNNNNNNNNNNNNNNNNNNNNNNNNNNNNNNNNNNNNNNNNNNNNNNNNNNNNNNNNNNNNNNNNNNNNNNNNNNNNNNNNNNNNNNNNNNNNNNNNNNNNNNNNNNNNNNNNNNNNNNNNNNNNNNNNNNNNNNNNNNNNNNNNNNNNNNNNNNNNNNNNNNNNNNNNNNNNNNNNNNNNNNNNNNNNNNNNNNNNNNNNNNNNNNNNNNNNNNNNNNNNNNNNNNNNNNNNNNNNNNNNNNNNNNNNNNNNNNNNNNNNNNNNNNNNNNNNNNNNNNNNNNNNNNNNNNNNNNNNNNNNNNNNCGGCCCUAUAACUGCUUCUGUGGUGCCGCAUUUGUGGCAAAGCAACCGCUUCUGCGGUUUUCCCGCAUCUGCGAUCCCUUAUCCGCAUCUGCGACAUUGCAGAUACGGUCCUCCUCACCACUUCUGCGGUUUCUUGCCUACAUCCCAACUUCAGCUUCUGCGACUUUUUUCCGCAUAUGCGGCAUCGCACCUGCAAUCCACAGGUGCGGAAAUACCAAAAGCAACACAAUCUACAGCUGUAACAGUUCCUCAAACUCCCCUUCAACCAUCCGAAAUCACCCCGAGGCCCCCGGGACCUCAACCAAAAGCACCAACAUAUCCCAAAACCUUAUUCAAACUUGUACCAAUCUUCAAAACACCUCAAACAAUAUCAAAUCAACCAAAACGCACCGGAUUCAAGCCUAAGUUCCCAAAAUCUUCUGAAUUCAACUUUUGAUCAAAAACUCAACCAAACCACGUCUGAAUAACCUGAAAUUUUGCACACACAUCCCAAAUUACACAACGGAACUACUGAAACUCUUAGAAUUCCAUUCCAACCCCUAUACCAAAAUCUCGCCUACCAACCGGAAAUGGACAAAAUAUCAACUUCGCCAAUUCAAGCCUAAAUCUACUCCGAACCUCCAAAACUCAUUUCGAUCACGCUUCUAAGUGCCAAAUCACCUCCCGAAGCUAUCUGAACCAUCAGAACUCAUAUUCGAUCCCUCUAACACAUAAGUCAACAUCCUAUUGACUUUUCCAACUCAAGCUUCCUCAAAAGAGACUAAGUGUCUCAAACCUUACCAAAAUCAUUCCAGAUUCGAUCCGACUAACCCGAUACCACAUAACAUGGAUAAACAAAGCAUAAAGAAGCAGAAAUGGGGGAAACGAAGCGGUAACUCAUGAGACGACUGGCCGGGUCGUCACAUCCUCCCCAACUUAAACAAACGUUCAUCCUCGAAUGAGUCAAGAAACAUACUAGAAGCCUCAAACAGGUGAGGAUAUGUGCUCCGCAUCUCCCACUCGGUCUCUCAUGUAGCCUCCUCCACGGGCUGACCUCUCUACUGCACUUUCAUUGAAGCUAUAUCUUUUGACCUCAACUUCCGAUCCUGAUGACCCAAAAUAGCUACUGGCUCCACAUCAUAGGUCAAAUCAUCAUCCAACUAAAUCGUGCUGAAAUACAGAACAUGAGACGAAUCCCCAAUAUACUUUCGGAGCAUAGAAACAUGAAAUACCGGAUGCACACUCGAUAAGAUGGGUAGCAAAGCAAUCUCAUAAGCCACCUCCCCAAUCCUCUGAAGCACCUCAAAAUGCCCAAUGAACUGCGGACUCAAUUUUCCUUUCUUCCCAAAUCUCAAAACACCCUUCAUGGGAGAAACCUUCAAUAGAACCUUCUCGCCAACCAUGUAGGACACAUCUCGAACCUUCCUAUUUGCAUAACUCUUUUGCCUCGACUGCGCUAUAUCGAAGCCUCUCCUGAAUCACCUUCACCUUUUUUCCAAAGCAUCAUGCACUAAGUCUGUCCCCAAUAGCCUAGCCUCACCGGGCUCGAACCAACCAACUGGAGAUCUACACCGCCUCCUAUACAAAGCCUCAUAUGGAGCCAUCUGACUACUCGACUGGUAGUUGUUGUUAUAAGCAAACUUUUCAAGCGGUAGAAACUGAUCCCAUGACCCUCCGAAAUCAAUGACACAAGCACGCAACAUGUCCUCCAAUAUCUGAAUAGUGCGCUCGGACUGCCCGUCCAUCUAAGGGUGAAAAGCUAUGCUCAACUCAACUUGAGUACCCAACUCUCGUUGCACAGACCUCCAAAACUGCUAUGUAAACUGAGUGCCCCUAUCUGAAAUGAUGGAAAGUGGGAUACCAUGCAAGCGAACAAUAUCUCGGAUAUAGAUCUCUGCAGCCACUCUGAAGAAUAGGUAGUACACACAGGAAUGAAGUGCGCGGACUUGGUCAGCCAAUCCAAAAUCACCCAAAUAGAAUCGAACUUCUUCAAAGUCCGUGGAAGUCCAACACCAAAGUCCAUAGUGAUCCGCUCCCACUUCCACUCUGGAAUAUCCAUCCGCUGAAGCAAGCUACCUAGUCUCUGAUGCUCAUAUUUUACCUGCUAACAAUUAAGACACCGAGUUACAAAUCCCACAAUGUCUUUCUUCAUUCUCUGCCACCAAUAGUGCUGCCUCAGAUCCUGAUACCUCUUCGCAGCACUUAGAUGAAUGGAAUACCGCAAACUAUGGGCCUCCUCCAGAAUCAACUCCCGAAGCCUAUCCACAUUGGGCACACAAAUCCGGCCCUGCAUCUUCAACACCCCAUCAUCACUAAUGGUCACAUCUCUGGCAUCAUCGUGCUGAACUUUGUCCUUAAGGACAAGCAAAUGCGGAUCAUCAUACUGGCGCUCUCUGAUGAGAUCAUAUAAAGAAGAUCAAGAAACCACACAAGCCAAUACUCGACUAGGCUCCAAAAUGUCUAACCUCACAAACCAAUUGGCCAAGGCCUGAACAUCAACUGCAAGAGGUCUCUCUCCAACUAGAAUAUAUGUCAAACUCCCCAUACUCACCGCCUUUCGGCUCAAGGCAUCAGCCACCAUAUUGGCCUUUCCCGGAAGGUACAAUAUAGUGAUAUCAUAAUCCUUAAGCAACUCCAACCACCUCCGCUGCCUCAAAUUAAUAUCCUUCUGCUUGAACAAGGGCUUGAAGCUACGAUGAUUAGUGAACACCUCACAAGACACACCGUACAAGUAAUGUCUCCAAAUCUUCAACGCGUGAACUAUGACAACCAACUCCAAAUAAUGAACGGGGUAGUUCUUCUCAUGGGGAUUCAACUGAGAAGAAGCAUAAGAAAUAACUCUACCCUCCUGUAUCAAAACACAACCAAUACCAACUCUCAAAGCAUCACAAUACACAGUAUAUGAACCUGAAAAAGAUGGUAAAACUAACACUGGAGAUGUGGUCAAAGCUGUCUUGAGCUUCUGAAAGCUCUCCUCACACUCGUCCGACCAUACAAAUGAAGCACCCUUCUGAAUCAACUUGGUCAAGGACGAUGCGAUAGAUGAGAAUCCCUAAACAAAAUGGCGAUAAUAACCCGCCAUACUACAACAAAAAGGGGCUUUAGUGGCAACAAAAAAUAAUAUUGGCGGCAAUAACAAUAGCCGCUAUAUCAUUUACCGACAAUUGAUCUUUAGCCGCUGAUGCCAGGGUCGGUAAAGCCUUUAGCAGUAUUUCUGUCAAAAGCUGGUAAAAGGUAUGACUUAUUGCCGCUAAAACUCAUUUGCUUUAAUGGCAAUUAUUUGCGGCAAUUAUUAUGGCUGUUAAACCCAUUCUAAAAAUGGCUAAUAAUGCUCCUUUAACAUCUAUUUUUAUAGCCGCUAAAUUCAAAAUAUUUGUUGCUAAAAGUCUAUAACUUUAGCGGUAAUUGUUUUGUGGCAAUUAGAGUGGCAACAAUAUCUCUUCUAAAAACGUCUUAGUAUGCCCCUUUAGCGUCCAUUUUAAUGGCUAGUAAAGUCAAUUAAAUUGCCGCUAAAAAUCAUCUUUAAUAGCAAUAUAAUAGCUACAAUAUCCCUGUAUAAACGUCUUAAUCCUGUUAAAUUAUCACUAAAAUUCACAAGCUAUAAUGGUAAGUUUAGCCACCAUUAAUAAUAGUUACUACAUUCGACCAAAAAAUAAUGCAAAUAACAAAACAUAAUAAUAUUAAUUCAUAAAACUAUAGUAUAUCUCAUCAAAUCUUAACAAACAAAAGGAAGUACUAAUCCAAAAUAUUAAUAUCACAAAACCUUAAAAAAUAACUCAUAUUGUUUGAAGUAAAUAGCUAAUGUCAUUAUAUAACUAAUAUUAACGAAUAACAAUCUUCAAAUAAUCUCUGAAACUCUUCGUCAUAUUGAAAUCUUCCACCCGCUAAAUUAUCGAACAUCAGAUUGUAUGACCUGAAAUAAUAAAAUAACUAUGUCAAUAGAUAAAAUAUAAUAAUAGUGAAGCAUGUCACUUUAAUCUGCUUAUAAUACUAAAUAGAUUAGACAAAGAAUGUUUCUGUAAGUUGAUAUGUGAUUGAAGUAAUAUCAGCAUGGAUCAAAGAACACAAGGGAAGAAAGGAAAAGAGUAGAGAUGUUUACAAAAUACUAAAGUAAGGAGAAAAGAGAUACCUAGUCAAUACAUAAAUCUGGGCAGUGUUUACGUUGGCAGCUAAUUCACAGCUGCAAUUUUUUGGAACACUACCUUUUGGAUCAAAUUAUGGGUACAAUGGAGAUAGUAUGGAACAACCAACAAUUACACAUGAUAUGUGUGUAAUUCAAGGAGGGAACAAACAACAUAUGUGUAAAAAACAGAAGCAAAGGAUGUUGGGCAGUCUUAUUUGCAACAUAUAGACUUAUAUUGUUUCUUCUGUUGAGUACAAGAAAAUUCAAGUCCCAACAUUAACACGGUUAUGGCAGAAGGACUCGUGUGAAACAAUUAAGUGUUUUCGUCCAUUAGUUCAGUUGUUGUCACAAACACAACAUACUCCAAAUAAGCAUUUUGACUUUCGUUUCUCCACAACGAUACUAAUCAUUCUUCAUAUCAUCUCUUUGUUUCACAUGAAACCUUUAGCUACCCACAACCAUGUAAAAUGACGAGAAAAUAAAGCAAACAUGUUCUAGAUCCACAAAAAAGCAUAGAAUUAAGGGAUAAGAGAUCACAUGAUUACAAACAGUUAUCACAUGAUAAAUAAGCAAAGUUAAGGACGAUAUAUCAGAGACUUUAUCAUGCCCAAGUAAAUGAAUUACUGUGGUGCAGUGAAUUUCCAAAGUAGGUGCACAUGCGAUGGACCAUUGCAUUCUAAACAGAGUUCAGUUUCACAGAGCUAGUGAUGUUAUGCUUCACCAGAUAAAUUAUGCUUCACCUUCUAUUUGACGAAAACAAAUAAAUAAACUUAAAAGAAGUGAGAAAUCUAAUAGAACACCAUGUUUCAGUGAGAUAUAAAUGCCUUCAUAAACACAUUUUCUAUUUCUGAAGUAUCAGUUCCUGCACAAAGUCAUUAUAAAAUUUCUCGAUCCAUUCAACUGAAACCGUUCUUUUGAGUAGAAUGAGUUCAAGGUUAUGGAACUAUUUAGGAACCAUAUCUUAUUUACGUUCCAUCUUUUGAUAGUUAAAUCAAAAAUGGUAAAACAAGAAUUCUCCGAACCUAAUCGAGGUCCUUAUUACUCAAGAAAUUUGACAAAAGCAACUGAUGCCUCAACUGCGUAUGUAGGAGAUUUUCCCAUUGUGGUCAACCAGACGAGGCAAUCAGUUACAUUUUCCAUAAUUUGACAAAUCAUGGAACCCCAACUUAUUAUAUCCAUAAUUUUCUAAGCAUCACUCCAUGCAAAAAAACUAGAGUGGAUCAGUUGAUGAGAGACAAUAAGAAUGAUCUGUGUAUAGCCACUAAUGUCAGGAUAGGUACUGCUGAUUGUAGUAAAACAAAAUAAUAGCUCUGAUUUAGUACUGGAUGUGUUAAAGUUGUUAAAAUAAGAAAUAGAGAAGUUUUCUCAUGUAAAAGUACAUGAAUACUGAAUGUGUGCAUUCAGCCAUUCACUAAGGGACAAAAGAACUAUCAUGCCUUAUAUCUGGUAAACAAUGCAGAAAAACAAAACUAAGAAAAAUCUAGAAAGUUUCCUUAUCAAACAAGCACACAGUUCUAACUGUCACAGAUAGCAGGACCAAUAAAAUAUUGACAAAACAGAAAGAAUCAAAUGACAGUAUGUCUUAACAGCUAAGUAAAACUCAAGACUCAAAUAUUGAAUUAGUCUCCAUUCUGCAGGAGAUGGAAGAAACUGUUGAAAACCAGAAAUUGGAGAUUGAGGACCUACAUAUAUUGAACCAACAAAACCUAGAGAACAAGCUUCAACAGUAGCAUACUAAUAGCCUUUAUACUACAGAUAAAUGGGAUAAACUCUUCAGAUACAUUCUAUGAGCUACCAUAAAUAAGGAUUUCAUAUGUAUCGUUAUAGUUUCGUGUCAGCUUAUGCACAAAGUGACAGACAAUCAUCUGUAGAGAACAGUUUUUUGGGUGUCUGAUAUACUUAUCAUACUGGAAACAUUGGCUACUUCUAGUAACAACUUUUAAGGAGAUGACUAAACAACUUAUGCAGUGUCCUUCUAUCCAAUUCUGUGCUUUUCUCAAGUCUCCCUUAAUCAGAUAUCUUUAGCAGUAAAACUAGCAACAGUUAUGUGUUUGCUUUUGGGGAUUCAAGUCAAAGUCAAGCUUCAGAUGGUGGUGUUAAAAGCGUUAAAAUCCAAAAACAAAAUAUGCCUGGAUGUUGCUCCAGAAUUUGAUUCCCAAAAAAUGCCAGCAAGUUUUUGGUGUUUGUGCUAACUCUUACAAGUUUACAUGAAAAUGGAAGGAGGAAAAUUCAAACAAUAGAAAACUCAAAUAGUAGCUUGUCGAAGGAUAAAGAUGAGUAGUACCGUAAGACAUUGAAGUAUUUUCAGUAAAGGUGUUAGUUCUGGAGUUCUCGCAAUUAUUCCUAGAAAGCUGGCAAGCUUUCGACCUUUUUCCCCAAUAGCUUGGUUACGAUUAAUAAACGGCACAUCAACUACCUUCACCGGAGGAAGUUUUCAAAUAUCUUUUAGUAAAGUAGGCCCACGAAUCUUUCUUGGCUCAAAAUUACCUAGAAUAUAAUAUUCAAAGGUCAUCAAAUGGCAAAAACUUAUAUGGUUAAAUCUGUUAAAGAAUAGUAUAAUGACAAAACAAUGGACAACAAAAACCGUAUACAUUUCAACACUAACUAUAUGAAUAAUGCAGCAGCACCAACAGAGGAAUGGACUGGACAUUGCGAUCGAUAAGCCACAUAGAAAAGAGUUAUGUAUGCAAACAACAGGACAUAAAUUGCAACUGGAUAGAAGCAAAUGAGAAGGAUAAAGGCGUAUACUAAUGCAUGAAUUGUAUGGGCUGGCUUUUAGUUAUACAAAUUUUAUUAGAAUUUGUGUGAUAUCAACUUUGAGUACAUUACUCAACUUUGAUAAUAGGUCUUAUGUAGUUUACAAAAUUUAUUUCGUGCACUUUUAAAAUUCCAUGACACUUUGUUUCUCCUUUUAUAUAUUAAUAAAA
rnacentral:lncRNA from 1 species